rnacentral:misc_RNA from 1 species
GUUAAGGUAUGAUAAUCUAACAUAACUGAGUCCAUGAAACUCAAAUAACAUUUUUCAAGUUCUCUACAAUGAAUUAAUGAUAGGAUUUGUAAAUAAUUGCCAUUCAAAAAAAUAAUAAAAUAAGAAGGAACCAGCCAUGAUCAAUUACAAUAGUAAUUUGAGGCAAAAGCAUUUUCAGAAAGCAGGUUAUUUGUUCCAUGAUCAAAAGGGUGUUUGAGGUUACAGCAAAUGCAAA